rnacentral:rRNA from 1 species
GACGAACGCUGGCGGCGUGCCUAAUACAUGCAAGUCGAGCGGACUUAAAAAGCUUGCUUUUUAAGUUAGCGGCGGACGGGUGAGUAACACGUGGGCAACCUGCCUGUAAGACUGGGAUAACUUCGGGAAACCGGAGCUAAUACCGGAUAAUCCUUUUCUACUCAUGUAGAAAAGCUGAAAGACGGUUUACGCUGUCACUUACAGAUGGGCCCGCGGCGCAUUAGCUAGUUGGUGAGGUAACGGCUCACCAAGGCGACGAUGCGUAGCCGACCUGAGAGGGUGAUCGGCCACACUGGGACUGAGACACGGCCCAGACUCCUACAGGAGGCAGCAGUAGGGAAUCUUCCGCAAUGGACGAAAGUCUGACGGAGCAACGCCGCGUGAGUGAUGAAGGUUUUCGGAUCGUAAAACUCUGUUGUUAGGGAAGAACAAGUACGAGAGUAACUGCUCGUACCUUGACGGUACCUAACCAGAAAGCCACGGCUAACUACGUG